AAAAAAAAAAUGGGAAAAGCAUUUUAUAGAUGAGCAGAAAGAAACUCCAUUAAUAAAGAAGGCAUCCCUAAGAUCACAUGGUUAGCUACACCACCAUACCAUGGUCAAUAGGCAAUAGGAAGAGGAGAAAAACAACACAGAAUCUCUUGUGUUUUAGGAUUUGAAAUAGCAUUAUUAAGUAAAAUAGCUAAAAAGACAGGAUAUCAGGGUUGGGGGUGUGGCUCAGUGGUAGAGUGCUUGCCUAACAUGUGUGAGGCACUGGGUUUGAACCUCAGCACGAGAUAAGAAUAAAUAAAUAAAAUAAGGUAUUGUGUCCAUCUACAACUAAAAAAAAAAAAUAGAAAAAAUAAGACAGGAUAUCUGUCUGCUGAUAAAACUAAUUUUUGGCAAUGAAGAUUUAUAAUCUAGCAUAGUAAAAGUGACCUACACAAGCAAGCCACGGUUCUCAGAAGCUUUCCUUCUAGCACAUGUGCUAACUUCAGUUUAUUUUUUGAGCAGCUAGGUUCCCAGUAUAGCCUGAUCUCUUAAUUUCUUUGUAACUGACUUCUUUUUAAAAAAUUGAAUAUAGGGCUGGGGAUAUAGCUCAGUUGGUAGAGUGUUUGCCUGGUAAGUCCAAGGCCCUGAGUUCAAUUCUCAGCAUCGCAAAAAAAAAAAAAAAAAUUGAAUAUAAAUCUAUAUGAUUGUCUAUCGGCUGCCAUAACAAAUGACCACAAAUCGACUGACUUCAAACAACAGAAAUGUAUCAUCAUGCGGGGCCGAAGGCUGGAAGUCCAAGAUGAAGGUGCAACCCUUCUUCCAAAACCUCUGGAAGAGAAUCUGCCUGACUUCCUCCAGCUUCUGCUCGUACCAGAAAUGGAAAAGCUUAUCUUCACAUUUAUAUGGAAAUUCAAGAAACCACAAAUAGCUAAAUGAUCUUGAAAAAGAACAAAGUUGAGAUAGACAUCUAAACCAAUGGAAUUGAAUUGAAGUUGAGAAGCAAAUUCUGAAGGCAAAGUUAAAAGAGCAAAAUCCUGAAGUGCAGCAAGCCAGAGUCUGCUUAGUGUGCCAAGAUCUGUGUAGACCAAGUCAAGCAGUCCAUCUGAAGAAUUUGACCCAUUUCUGAUAUUUUCUUCUGAACAGCUGGUAAUUUUCAAAGUUUGCUUGUGAUUUUUAUGUCUUUGUACAGCAAUUAUGUAGACCUGUUAAAGAUUAAUUUAUAAAUAGGAAAAUCUUGUAUCUGAUGAAAAGGUGAGCAUAAAAAUCUGAAAAUCAUUGUAGUAUCAAGAAGACAUACAUGUGUAAACACACACACAAAACUGGGGUAAAAAGAUACAAAAAUAUCAUCUUCAAUAAGAUGAGUCAGGGAUGACAAACAGCAGGUAAAUAUGCUGCCACUGUGUACUUAAACAACCGUGAUAGCUACAAAUAAUUUUUCAUAGUACUCUUCUUACUAAGCUGGGUUAUACAC